CCCUGCGAGGGGGAGUGUGAGGCUGGGUGGGACACAGGAGGCCUGCCACAGGCGGCCGCUGGGCCCCGCAGCCCACACGUACAUGUCUGAACACGCGGACCUGCCUGAGCCCUGAGCUGAGGGUCUGGGCCAGGGCCCCUUUCUUCCUUCAGGCGUCCUGGGAGCAUGGGCGGACCCAGAGCAGACCGGCAAGGGGAACUUACUGGGGGUCACCUCCAGAAAGGCCAGCCAACCCAACCCAGACUUGCAGACACGGACGUGUGGCUCAGGGCACCGAGAGCAGGCUGGCAGGCUGCCAUUACGUGCCCCUGGCUGAAGGGCACACCUGGAAAAGGAAGCAGAACCCAAGCUCUGCUCCAGGAGGAGGAGGGAGGGGCCGUGCUUCCCAGAGGCGGGGUCAGUGCUUCCCUGGAGGGGCGGGGUCGGCGAUUCCCUGGAGGGCAGGGCCAGUGCUUUCCCGGAGGGGACCGUACCCCGCAGGCAGGGCCAGCGCUGAAGUCACCGGCAACAAGACAGUGGUGUCCGGAAGCGGCCGUUCCUAAAAGUGCCUGCCUCCUACUGGCCCCCAGCUGGGUCCGGAAGCUUAGGAAAUUAAACCAGCACAAGCAGAAUGACUUUAAAUAGCACUCCAAAGUCCACACUAGGUCAUGGGUCAGCAGGGCUGUUUCCAGAAAAGAACCAGUCCCCUCCUGGGGCCAGAGAAGGUUUUUCCACCUUCAGGUGGGAAUCUGGCCCGAGAUGGGGGGGGGGGGAGAGCGGGGGCUGGGUGCUCUGGCCUCUCCCAGCAGGGCCGGCCCGCCCCUUGCUCACGCACAUCCUAGCUUCUCGGGAAGGUCAGCAAUGAACCAGCUUCCCACAAACGCCCAACUCGGGGCGGCUAUUUCUGAGAAUUCACAUGAGCUCCGAAGUACACAGGACACAGGGGAUGCCCCGCCCCGCUGGCCGUGGAUACCUGCAUACCCUGCCCGCGUGUGAGUGCUCCCCCAGGGCGGGGAGGGGGGGCAGGCCCCAGUGCUGGCGCAAACUGCUUCCUGUGACCUCACAACACGCGAGGGUUGCGCUGGUCUCCCUGCCUUUCAUGGAAGCUACUUCCUGCUCUGAGAGGCCAGGUGACCCGCCGAGGGCACCCUGUGACCCUCCUGCUUGGCGCCAGCCUUGCCCACGGGCCCAGCCCCGCUCUUCCUGCUCGGCUCCGUGGGAUGGCUGACAGCGGCAUGGAAGGGGGUGUGCCGGCAGGGCUGGGGGCUGGGCCCGGAACACAGACCACCGGCCAUGCUGAGGGGUGACCGGGACAGGACAGUGACCUGACCUUGGGACCCACUGCCCCAGACGUGUCUGGCAAAGCCCACUCCAAAGGCCAGGCUGCAUGGGGUGCUGAACUCUGCCUGGGAUUGCCGGGACACUGGCCACCACCAGUGUGGACCACACUACACCACAGGGACACACACCUUGGCCAGGACAGGCCAGCCUAGCCUCACACCAAGAGCCACGGGAUGCCUGACACAGACCCCAUCCUCAAGAGUCACAAGUGGCCCUGUCUCCAGGACACGUGGAAGCAGGUAAGACCAGUAACAAACCUGGAGAGUGGGACGUGGGUCAGGGUAACAGAGGCAGCACCAGAGGGACCGGAGUGGCCAUCACACAUGACCCUGGGGUCUGGAGAGUGGCCUCGGCCUGAGCUGGCCCCGCACGUGUCCGCUCGGUGGGACGGCACUAAAGCAGCACACCUGUGCCGACGUGAAUGUGCCCAGGUCUCCCCUCCCCGUGGGGUGGGGGACCUGGCUGUGCCCUCGCUCCACGGAAGCCCUUCAGGUGACUCUGGGUAGGCCCUGUGCCGUCGGCCAGCUCUGAGGCCCUUCUGUCUCCGCCAGCUCUGUCUGGUUGAGCUGUGGGGUCACGCGGGGCAGGCGGCGCCCGGGGCGGGGGGGCCGGGGGCGCUGUGCGGAGCUGGAACAGGGGAGCGCGGCCCCGCCCCCCAGGCACCAUACCUUGCUUUCUGGCCGCCGUGGCGUUCCAGGCGUCUGAUCGCCGAGCUGUCCUCUGGUGACUGGCAUCAGGGUGGAUGUGCACCUGGAGGGACAGAGGGGACAGCAUCCCGAGACCCAGCCCCAGGGUCCCCCCCGUCCCCGAGGCAGCCCCUACCUUGUAGGAUUGAGAGACCCCAGGCCCCAUCACGGAACUAGACACGCCCUCCGCAGGGUCUGCACUGAACACAAUCUGAAAAGCAGACGUGGGGGACAAAGCAGAGACACGCUGGUCACACAGCGUACAGCAGGGGCCACCACUCCUGAGUCGCCCCCACACACGGGACGGAUGCUCAGGGCAUUGUCAUCCCCUACCCUGCCUUUGAGCUCAUGGCAUCCCUGCUGUGGGACUCCAGGCCGAGGGGCAGGAGUCGCACUUGCCUGUCCCCUCUCCUGAAGGACCCCACGGCACCGGAGACACAGCCAUCCCGCAGGGCCCCCUCUGUGGUAGCUAAUCCGUGUGCUCUCACAGGGAGCAGGCCUGGGGUGGUCAGGGAGCCAGAGGAAGGGACUCAGUUCACCCCCAGAAGUAAAAAGACAAAAGCGACCCCUAACUAAAAUAAAGAGAACCGUACUCUUGGCCAAGGCAACAAAUGGAGAAAAAGAGUCGAGAGGUAACUUUGGGGAAGAAGGCGCACGAUGCUGGAAGUUAACAAACCACGUGGCGGGACUGCUCAGAAAACCAAACGACUUUUACAAUUAAAAGGAAAACUUAGUAAGACAGUACCAGGAGGCCGACAGAAACACCAAGAGUGCCCCAGGAUGCCCUGGGGCCCAGCGGCUUCCUGUCCACGGCUUUGCAGGUGAGCAGGUCUCACGCCGCCCCAGGGCAGGCUGCACCUGCCCCAUCCCUCCUGAGGCUGCCUCUGUCUGUGUGGGCUGCAGACCCCCUUUCUCACCCUACCUUGAGGGGAUCUGAGUUUCGGGAGGUACGAGGCACUACAGCCCGCCUGGGGGUGCUCUCAGUGCGGCCUGUGACAUGGGCUACCUGUCUGGCCAGCCCACUGACCCCCUGCAGCCCCGGGGCCAGCCCAGCACACCCCCUUCCCAUAGGAGUCAGGUCUGGGAGGAGCAAGAGCCCAGUCACACUUCCUCCAGCUGGAAGGGACACACCAGAGAGAGAAGCUGGCCUACAGGCAGCACCGGGCAGGCAGGGACACGGAGCCAUCUGCCAGGCCCACUGAGAGCGGCUGCCAAAAGAAAUUCCAAACCAAUGGGGUAGGGGUGCUUGGGUUCCAGUGAGUCUGCGGGGGAGAAUCUGGGGAGGGGAGGGGGCUGCGUGGGACCGGGUUUGAGCUCAGGGCACCUGUGGAGGGGACAGCAGCCCUAGCCCAGCGCCCGCUCAUCUGCAGGGACCCUGAGAUCAGUGGGGAGUACACGCAGGGAGCAGCUCAGAGGAGAGGGCCCGCCUGGCAGGAGUCUCAGACAGGGGCCAGGGUACCCGGAGACCCGACAGUCACAAGAGGCCAUGGCCCCAGGCAGCAGUGGUCUGGAGCUCCUCAGAGAAGUGCUGGGAGGACAGCAAGGCAGGGCCUGGCACGCCAGGACAACACCUACCCACACUUCACACUCAAGGAGAUGGGAGCCCCAGCAAGGACCACUAGCACCAAGAGUCCUCUUAAGAAAGGGCUAGCGAGGCCCUCGUCAUAGGGUCCUUUUCCUCAGAAAGGGACGGUCCUCGACAGCUGGCCCGGCAGCCACUCGACUGAGGGAGACAGACCCUGGCUUGUCCACUUGAGCUGAGAAGCGGCUCAGCCAGACCCAAAGACAGCUAGCUGGACACACGACAGCACCCUGGGGGGCAGGAGGCGGCCGUGUCCACAGGCCCUGAGGUGUGUGAUGUCCCCACUGGUGGCCUGGCUAGGGAAAGGUGGGGUUUGCAUGUGCCAGGAGGGGCUGCCCUCACCCCAAAGUGGAUCCCAGAGGCCAGAGUGAGGCCAGUCUGGCCCAGAGAACAUGCUGGCCGCGCCUGCCGACUCUGAACGCCAGCCCCACGGGCCCCACCUGGGCUCACAGGCAUUGCCCAAACGCACUCACCCCUAGUAUCUGAAUGCCUCUCUGGGUGGGCUGGCCCAGUGGCCAGACAACGGGGCUGGGUAGACAGAGUCGACGGCCUCUCACUCUGUGAUGGACUCAUGCUUUGACUUACCUCUGAAAAGCUGCUUCAAGAAAUUACUUGAGAAAAGGUGAGAGCGGACGGUGUGGCCACUAGGCCUGCCUGAAACCCAGGGGACCCCGCCAGGCCCCCACGCCCCCUGGCCCCCGGGGAACCCACCCUGGACCUGACUGCCCAGAGCAGCCAAGCACGGCCCGCUCCCCUAAGGCCUCGCAGAGCACCUCCAGGUAAGAGGAGACACGCUUCAGAUGUUGAUUCGAAGCAUGUGGCGUGGGCGCCUUGGCCUUGCCCCAAACCUGGGAGAAGGAGGCACCCCUCGACCCCCAUCAGGAAAGGAGACGCCGUACCUUCGCCAUACGCCCACCCUACCUGGAUGAUGUCUGAGAGCUUCUGCAGCCCCGCUGUGUUGGUGAACGGCCCCGUACCUGUGGGAGCAGCAGACGCUGGCCAUCCCGCACCUCUGCCAGGGGAGGCCCCGGACCCUCCGCCAUCAGGAGCCACGAGCAAGCUUGGCCUCAACCCAGUGUUGGUGUGGGGCGCGCCCUUGCGGGGGGGGGGGGGGGGCAGUUCCCACACUGCUGCCAGAACGUCUCCGGGGGGUCGGCGGGAUGAGAACAGGCUCUGUGCUCAAGUAAGGCUGAGGCUGCUGGGCCACCCCAGGGCCCAGGAGCACAGCAAAGUGACCGUCUGAGAUGAGAACAAGGCCCCACCCAGCAGAAGUGGGCCCAGGAUGCGGGGGGCUCAGCCUCUGGGUGGACACAGGAUGCGGGGGGCUCAGGGGAGAGGCUGGCGGGACCCGUGGCUCAGUCGCCUAGCAGGUGCCUCACCACUCUUCCCCUCCGGGGCUGACCAGGGAACGUGCUUUACAAAACACAUGCCCGUUGAACGGCAGCGAGGCUUCAACACCCCAGGCAGAAAGGGGGAUCUGGGGGCAACGUUCCUGCCUGGGGGUGCUGCAGCAGGCUACAGCCCUGAGUCAAGGCCAGUGUGGGGGCCAAGGUGGCCGCGGGGCCCAAUGGGGACUCACGUCCUGCCAGGUGCUGGAUGAUCUGGUCCAGGGAGUCGAGGAUGCAGCCUUUCGUCUGAAAGGUUAUCUGGGCUUCGGCAAACAGCUCAAAGAUGUAGCUGCAGAGGACAGAGGCUCAGGCAGGGCCCAGGCCGCCUCCUGAGAGGAGGCCAAACUUCAGAGCCCUAAGUGUGAAGGAAAAGGCAAGGCCCCACAGGGCAGCUCUGGGAGGCAGGUAAGCCCUGCCGUCUGGGCCGUGAAGGCCGAAGGGCCUGGAGCAGCUGGGAAGCAAGUGGGAGUCCCACAAGGCUCUGAGCACAGUGUGACAGAUGGGCUCAGGAAGAAGGCAGGCAGCAGUGCUCCAGCACAUUCUAGAACAUUCCACACCUCGAGAACCUGAGGCUGGAUCCCAGCACAGCUGUCAAUUGUGCCCUGAGGAAAGCUACAACCGGCCCCAGGCCACGAUCCCUCACCUGCCUUUAGGAAAUAAAGCCAGGUGCCCUGGGCUGCUGAGACCACAGUCCUGCGCACCACGGCCAGCCAUCUGGGCCUAUAGGAGAGGAGGCUGGUGGGAAGAUGCGCACAGAAGCUCCUCACUCUGAAGGGCUGUGCUGUCAAGGGCUGGGCCAGAGCGGGAGAGGCCGGGGCCAGGGCAGCUGGGCACUGUAAGGAGAGCCGGGCACACCCACUGUCCUUUACCUCCCUGGCUUGGUGACACCACUCUGGUUCCCCGGCAGCUCAACGGCAUCGAUGGCCCCCUCCAGGCGAAGCAGGAUCACUGUGGGCAAGGGGUCGUCAGGUGCAGCCCGCCCGGCCACGCUGCAGCGGGGGAGGGCAGCACUCACCCUUGAGCUUGGCGAGGUCUUCCAACUCCAUGCGCAGCCCUGGGAGAGCAGCAAACGCACAGUCAUUUUCCACUGCCACGCACCGCAUCCUAGAGACAGGAUUCGGGCCGGAUUCCUGCCAGUUUCCCCAAGUUGUGGCGGUCUGGAGGUUCACACAGACCAGUCCAACAGGCUCUGAACCCUUGCAGCCCGAACGCGGACCAGAAGCAGCGGUGUGAGCUGGCGGUGUCUCACCUCUAGGGACACGGGAGCACACAUGUACUCGGAUGCUCGCUGGAGGCCCAGGACAAUGACCCAGCUACAAAGCGUCCCAGCGCCCGCAUCGUGGCUCUUGCGAGAUCAGAUCUCCCGCGAGAGGAAACCAGGACUGCUCGGAGACUUGGCUGGAGCCAGAUGAGGGACAGGAAAAGCGUGGACAGUGGAGUCUCUACCGCUGGGAAACUGUGGAAAGGUCUUCAGAGAAUGACGCAACGGUCAGCGGGCACCCACUCCCUGCUCCGUGAAGCCCCAAGACCCUCCUAACAUAAUUCAUCUUGGGGCGCCUGGGGGCUCAGUCAGUUAAGCGUCCGACUUUGGCUCAGGUCAGGAUCUCACUGCUCACAGGUUCAAGCCCCACAUCAGGCUCUGUGCUGACAGCUUGGAGCCUGGAGCCUGCUUCCGAUUCAUCUCUGUCUCUCCGCCCCUCCCCUGCUCCUGCUCUCCCUCUCUCUCGCUCUUAAAUGUGAAACGUUGAAGAAAAAAGAAGUUCACCUUGUCCCCAAACGACUGAAGAAGGCGCUGGGACCGGAGGCCACCGGGCAGCCUGUCUCGUCUCUCGUCUCCCACCUGCAAACUCACCU